rnacentral:rRNA from 1 species
UAAACGACUCUCGGCAACGGAUAUCUCGGCUCUCGCAUCGAUGAAGAACGCAGCGAAAUGCGAUACUUGGUGUGAAUUGCAGGAUCCCGUGAACCAUCGAGUUUUUGAACGCAAGUUGCGCCCGAAGCCUUUUGGCCGAGGGCACGUCUGCCUGGGUGUCACUC